rnacentral:rRNA from 1 species
AACGAACGCUGGCGGCAUGCUUAACACAUGCAAGUCGAACGGGGCAGCAAUGCCUAGUGGCGGACGGGUGAGGAAUACGUAGGAAUCUGCCCUUAAGUGGGGGAUAACCAGGGGAAACCCUGACUAAUACCGCAUGAUCUCUUCGGAGCAAAGAGGGGGACCGCAAGGCCUCUCGCUUCUGGAUGAGCCUACGUCUGAUUAGCUAGUUGGUAGGGUAAAUGCCUACCAAGGGGACGAUCAGUAACUGGUCUGAGAGGAUGAUCAGUCACACCGGAACUGAGACACGGUCCGGACUCCUACGGGAGGCAGCAGUGGGGAAUAUUGGACAAUGGGCGCAAGCCUGAUCCAGCAAUGCCGCGUGUGUGAAGAAGGCCUUCGGGUUGUAAAGCACUUUAGCCUGGAAAGAAAAAACUUUGGUUAACACCCAAAGUCUUGACGGUACCAGGAGAAUAAGCACCGGCUAACUCUGUGCCAGCCGCCGCUGUAAGAC